UUAUGGACAUGGUAGAGGCUGCCGAGAGGAGUUCCCUUGCUGCAACCUCCAAUGGUAUUUCCGGUGCAGUGUCCAAGAGGGGGAGGUUCAGACUUCAGAGCAAUGAUAACAAGGAGCUCGAUCAAAAAUCACCUAUGAAAAAUAUGUCGUUCUUCUCUACAGGGGUUGAAUGUGGAAUUUGAGGAGAAUCUAUGCACCAGCAUCCGACUCCUUGAUGUUGCUCUGGUCAUAUUGUGUAAAUAUAUUUCUAAUAAAGCAAUCGCCCGAUGGUGUACAUGUUAGAAAUAACAAGAUGUAAUCAUCAAGUGUGAGAGAUGGCAACAUCAUGAUGGGAUGG